AUUGAACGCUGGCGGCAGGCUUAACACAUGCAAGUCGAGCGAGCGGCGGACGGGUGAGUACUGUCUGGGACACUGCCUGAUGGAGGGGGAUCACUACUGUGAACGGUAGCUAAUCCCGCAUCCCCUCCGCUUUGCACAGAUGGGAUUAGCUAGUAGGUGGGGGAAGUGCUCACCUAGGCGACGAUCCCGAGCUGGGCUGAGAGGAUGACCAGCCACACUGGAACGGAGACACGGUCCAGACUCCUACGGGAGGCAGCAGUGGGGAAUAUUGCACAAUGGGCGCAAGCCGGAUGCAGCCAUGCCGCGUGUGUGAAGAAGGCCUUAGGGUUGUAAAGCACUUUCAGCGAGGAGGCGUUACUCGCAGAAGAAGCACCGGCUAACUCCGUGCCAGCAGCCGCGGUAAUUC
rnacentral:rRNA from 1 species